AGGGUGCCGACAUCGAAGAGGCCGAGAUCCCAGAGGUCAACACAAGGGAUCAGGAGCUGGACGUGGAGAGUUUCAUCAGUUCCCAGAGCGUCCAGAGGCCAAGCACCGUACAGAGGAGGCUGCACAACGCUGCUGCUGACGAAGAGCCAUCCCUUGGAGAGAGUUCUUCCUUCCCGGGGGCCGAGACUCCGCAAGCCAGCGUGGAGGACGAGGGGUCGGAAGGGGACGGUGACACCAGUUCCCCCAGGUACCUUUCUCAGCUGAAGGGCAGCUCCUGGGAUCAUAGAGGCAGAUCACCUUCCCUGGGAGCCUGGGGUGGGGCGUCGCUAUAA